rnacentral:lncRNA from 1 species
GGAGGCGAGGACGCCCGCCCUCGUGUCAGAGGCUGACGCCGUGGGCUUGACAAAGAGAUGAAUAAGACUUCAGAGAAUUAUGAAGUUGAAACCACAACGUGGAAGACACCUGGGGUUGACAAACGAGUCAUUGGAGACGCGCUUCCUAGGAGAGCUGUGUGACCAGGAACACCUAGAGUAGUGUAUUUGCUUUGUUAAAGAGUGACUUGUAUGAGAGAGAAAUCUAUUUUCCAUAAAAAUAAAAAAAGAAUGACUGAAAUCUUUCAAACCGCUAUCUAAAAUGUCUGACGCUCGGCUCUGUAAUCUAGCUUGAGCUCCAAAGCUUCUGCUGGUCUUGCUGCAUUGUAGUUUGGUUAUUCGGAUCCCUUGUGCUUUAUAUGAUUUUUAGGGUUUUUCUUUUUCUUCUUCCUGUGAAUAAUGCAGUGAAUUAUGGUGGAGAUUUCAUUGAAUCGCUUUUACAGUAUUAAUUCUGCCAAUUCAGAACGUGGGAGUUUUUUAUCUAUCUUCUAGUGUCUUCAGUUUUUUUUCUUCAUUGCUUUAAAGGUUUUUAUUAUAGAGGUCUUCCUUGGUUAUGCUUUUUCCUAGUUGUGAUACUUAAUCUUGACUGUCAACUUGACAAGAUUUAAAAUCACCAUGGAAAUAAUUCUCUGAUCACGUCUGUGAAGAGUUUCUAGGAUUGGUUAAUUGAAGUGGGGAAGACUAUUCUAAAUGUGAGCCAGGUUCCAUGGUCUGGGGUCUGUCUCUGCCUGAAUAAAACAGAAAGGGGGCAUGGCAACAGCGUUCAUGGCUCUGCUUCCUGACUGUGGAUACAAUGUGACCAGCUGCCUCUAGUUCCUGUCGCCAUCAUGUUCCUGCAGUGAUAGACUCAGUGGCAGAUGAAACUAUAGCCCAAAUAAAGCCCUCCUGCUUUAAGGUCUUUUGUCGGCUAUUCUGUCACAGCAAUAAAACACAUAAAACACAUAGGUACCUACAGGCAAGUACCAAAAAGUACUUCAGUUGCUCAAGAAAGAAUACCAAGAUUGACAGCG